AGUGCCCUAAAGACCAACUGGAUAGAAGGAGAGCGGAGCAGAGGCUUGGAAGCUUGGAUCCCUCCUCCUGCACUCCCUCCCGGCCCCGACUCCGGAACAAAACAAGCAAACAAUAAAGCAAACUUGUUGCUCUUUUGUCUCAAAGUUUUGUGUGAGUUCCCAUCUCGUAAUCAGUGGGGUUGAGGGUGACGGGGAGCAGAAGUAACUAAUAUCAUUGUGUUUUCUUAGUUACAUUUUGGACAAAUUUUUACGGAUACUGGAGAUGAGAAGUGGACUCUGCUCUGUCCUGAAAACCUGGAAUCAUAACAUUUCAUGGCUAGGACUAGAGUGUCCUUGGCGCUGUGUUUCUGGUCAGUGUCAAUUGUGUGUCAUAUUGAGAUGCCCCCACAAAAACUGUCAUCAUCAACAGGCGCUCCAGAGCCGCUGGUAGCCUACCAAAUUGUUGGCUCAAUGGAAUGCUUACUUGUUGAAAUACACCAACUUUGGAAGCUCUGAGUCAAGUUUGGGACAGAGGUUCCUUGCUCUCCAGGAACUCCAGGGCUAGCUGUAUGCGGACUUGCAUAAAUAACAAGGGCUAUUCCACUGACUUUGUCUCUUUUUCUCAGGUUGUCAGCGGCAGGCUGCAAUUUUAAUUCUGUAAACCGUGUAUUGCGCGUGUACUUUGGGUGGCCCUGUGCUGCGUCAGCUGGAAGGGAUCCAGAGAAAAAGACAGAGCCCUCUUUGAAGACAUCCAGAGAGAGAUCUAGGAUGUUGGGAAGGAACAAAGAAAUUCAGGCAUCUCUCCUGAGAAGAGAAAGGGAGUAGAAUGCUCCAUCAUGAUGCUAACCACAAGAAUUGACUUGACGGGACAGAAUCAAGGGGAAGAACGUCAGUGAAACUUCUGGUGACAAUCACCCACUUAGGUCUUUAUUUUCCAUUUUUGCAUUUGUCAUACUUUUCAUAGUAAUGAAAACAAAUAUGUUGUGUAUAAUACUGGAUGUCAGCCUAUACAUUUGGUUUUUAAAUUUGGGGAAGGAAACUUCUUUCCACUCGAUUGAGCAGUUUCAUCUUUGCAAUGUAUUUAUUCUUUCUGAACUUUUGGGUAGUGUCCUCGUAUUAGUCUGUUUUCAUGCUGUUGAUAAAGACAUACCCAAGACUGGGUAAUUUAUACAGAAAAAGAGGUUUAAUGGGCUCACAGUUCCACAUGGCUGGGGAAGCCUCACAAUCAUGGCAGAAGGCAAAAGGUCUGUCUUGUGUGGCGGAAGGCAAAAGGCCCGUCUUAUGUGGUGGCAGAAAAGAGAGAAUGAGAGCCAAGUGAAAAGGGAAAUCCCUUAUAAAAUCAUCAGAUUUUGUGAGACUUAUUCACUACCACGAGAACAGUAUGGGGGAAACUGUCCCUGUAAUUCAAUUAUCUCCCACCAGGUCCCUCUCACAACACGUGGGAAUUAUGGGAACUUCAAUUCAAGAUUAUAUUUGAGUGGGGACACAGCCAAAUCAUAUCAGUCCUAGAAAAUUCUUCAGGACUGGCUCUUUUUACUUUUUGGCAAUUUAGCCCUCCUGGUCAUGAACGAGUUGUCAGAUUAGCUUCUCCUAAUUUCACACUAUGAUGGGGAGAAGGAAAUGCAGGUUUUCUGCUCUUAAAAGAUUCCACAUACUGUUUGGACCCUCCCGUGCAUAGUGGAGAGAAUAACUUUAUUCAUUCUGUGAUUAUCCAGUAGGAAGUCUUAUCAGACAGGAGGCCCUCUGGAGGGUCCUAGCAACACUGACCUAAACCUCAGAGCACUCGAGUGAACACCCAAAGUCCUCUGUGGAGAAAUGAUGUAGAGUCUUGAAUGGGAAUAUGUUGCUAAUGGGUCAUUAGUAAUUUGAGUGUCUUUUCAGCUGGCGUCAAAACAGGCCCUAUUCCUCAGUACCCGGUAUCAAGAGAAGACAACUUUCAGAAGCCCAUUGCCUAGACUUGGAGGAGGCUCUUAAUAUGUUUUUUUUCCACAUUUCAUAAAUUCUUAGGAUUUUUUAAAUUUAAUAUCCUUUAUGAACUAAGGUCAACAAAACUUUAAUCAGUGAAUAUAUUUUUGGUUCUGAGAGUUAGAACACUCCUCCCUUUUAAAACAAAAAAGUUUUUAGAAUUUUGUUGUUAAAUAUAUCUGGACAUAUGAAGAAAACUGAAGUUAUCAGCCUUUUCAAUUGAAUCCUGACACUGAAAUUGUCUUUUGAAACUUACUUUUGUGUAACUAUCCUGGCUCACUGGCACUCUGCUCUGGAAUUAAAUUUCCCUAAUUUCUGUCAACUUUUUGAAUCUGCAACAGUGGGAGCAUAUGAUAUGCUGUAUGAGUAACUGCACAAGUUAUUGUUAGAAAAAUUCCUACUGAUAAGCCCUAUGAGUUUUAUCUGUAACUGUGCAAGUAACCUAAGUAUCUUGUGGAAUUAGAGGCAAUAGUCUGUUUUACAAAGAGUAGGAGAGAGAGAGAAAGAGGUAGAGACAAAGACCAAGACCAGGAGAGGAAGAAGGAGAGAGACAGAAAGGGAGGCAGAGGGAAGAAAGGAAAGAAGAAAGAAAGAAAACAUUAGCAUAAUUUUCCAAGAAUAGGCAUCUCAGUGUCUUGCCUAGAAAUCAAGGUCUUCCUCUGCUCAGAAGCACAGAAACUGUCCAGGAGGGGAAGCUCUAAGUAACGAUAACAAUAGAAACUGAUUGGCUUGACAAUGAGAUAAGACCAGGUAUGUUCCCGGUGACCCACAGUGAAGGAAAAUUCAGUUUUUGCACAGUUUCACUGUGUGGAGAGAAUAUAGCACCAUUACAAAACUUCUUUUAAAGAAAAGACACUUUGGGAAUUGGCCUCAUCUGUUUUUUUGUAGGCAGUUCAGAUAGGAAUAAAGGAAAGAAGAAAACAUCUCCUUCCUUAUUCCCCAUCUGUUUAUCUCACUAUUUCUCAUCCUCCUUACAGACACUCAGCUGGAGGUUCACAGAUCCAGUUUCUUGUAGAUUGCUCCUCAAUGUUGUGGGUAAUUUUAGGCAAAAUAUGCAAAUUUCUUGUUUGGCAUAAGGUUUUUCUUUCUCCUGCUAAAACAAAAAUGUUUCCGCUACAAACCAUUUAAAUACUUCGUAGGGAUUUUGUCAGGAUUAAUGAGGCAACAGACAGUCACAGGUGAUUAUACUUAUUUCAAGAAUGCAUUAUUUUAGUAUGUCUAUUUGGCAUUACAUUGAUUUUUUUUCAGGUCAUUAGCUUAUUAAUUUCUACUAGACAGCAGAGCUGCUGUGUCUUGUUAUUUUUGGAGUUAAAAUGGUGUAAUAUUCUCAGAGAGCUAGACAUCAACUUAGUGAACUGGAACUGGAGAAUAAUUUAUUCUUUGCUACCAUAGAUGUUAAUUAUUUACCACAAGACAGAGCUGGGCAAGAAGAAAUCUCAGAACUUUAGUUUGGAUACAGACUUUGCUUUUUAUGGUCUGUUUCAAUCCCUUUAUUUUACAGAUAAGUAGAUUAAAACAAUUAUGAUUAAGUAUCUUCUCUUAUGUCACACAGUUGUUAUUGAUUGGUUUAUACUUAGGAGCUAGAGCAAGUGUUCCCAGGGAGUACAUUUUGUACUGAAUAUAGCUGUCUUUGUGAAGAGAAAAAUAACAAGAUUUGUAGGUACUGAAAGUUACCCAGAAAUCUCACAUUAGUCUAGGAAGAGGUAUGUAUUAUGAUGCUCAGGGUUACUGUGGCUUGAUAUAAUUAAACAGAUGUAUAUUCGUCUCCUAGAGUCUUCAAAAUAAUGAUAGUGGUGACGAUGACGAUGAUGAUAGUUAGCAGUUUUUAAAGGCUUACUCUGCAACAGGAAUUAUACCUAGAGGUUUAUACACAUUAUCUCAUUUAUUUCCUAAAAUGAUGCCAUGAGGUUGGAUCUAUUAUUUCUUCCAGUCUACAGAAGAAGAACCUGAAGCUUAGAGAUAUUUGGUAAAUUGUUGCAACUUCACUCUGUAAGUAAAUGUCAGAUCUGACCAAUAUGAUGCCACCCUAUGCCUUGUCACAGUAUUAUUCUGCUAUACGUUUGAGAAUCUGCCAAAUUUUCUUAGGCUCAUUAUCCACUACCACCAUAUUCUGACUUGUGGUGGAAUUAAUAAUAUUUCUAGAAGAAAUAUUUGCAAUAUUUAAGCAAAUUUUAGAAUUUUUAUACUAGAAAUAAGAUCUUGGACAUAAUGUAACUGUAUGUCUAGGUGGUGCUAAGUAACGAGACUUUCUGCACUGAGUUUUAGAAUGAAGAAUGGGAAGGAAAGCUCUUCCUAAAUAAAGCAGGAAACAUGGAUACCAGCUUACCAUUUGUAACCAGAGGUGUUUCUUAAUCUUUUUCAGAUCAGUUGUACAAAAGUUAAGACAGCAAUAAUGGUUUUUAUAGAAUGUUCUCAUGACGGUUAAAUAUUAAGAUGUAUGUGAAGUACAUAGCCCAGUACUAGAAAGAUCUGGCGUCUCUUCUGAUUAUUUAUUGCCUGUGCUGUACCAGUUAAUGUUUGGAAUAUCAGUACUGUAUUCAACAGAUAUCUAUUUGAUAUCUAGUAUGUGAUUGGGCCAGUAAUAGGCCCUAAGGGGACAGUACUAUUUUUAUCUUCAUGGUGCUCACUUUCUAGUUGAAGGAGGUAGAAAAAAUAAUUAUUGCGGGUAGUGAUAAGUGAAACAAAAAUAAUAAGACAGGAUUGGGGUAGAGUGACAUGAAUUGGGGAGAAGGAAGGAUUCCAUGAGAUCAGUUGUGAAAGGAGGCUUCUAAGAAAGCAACACUGGAGUUGAGAAGGGAAUAAGAAAGAGCCAACUACCUGGAGAUUGGUAGAAGGAUGAAAAGACAUGCACAAGAUUUGAAGAAGAGUUUAUGAAGAUGAAGGCUUCCAAUGAACUGAGAUUUCUACAUCAUGGGGAGGGUAAUAAAAAUGCUCUUUAAAAUAUGUUAAACAAGGUAUCUGUAUCUAUGUCUGCAUGAAAGUAGAGAGGAGACAGAAUAGCUGAUGCAACAGAUGACAGUGAAUAAUCGAGUAUCUACAGCUUCUACAAUGAUCAUCAACCAGGUUCUUUCUGCCCAACUGCAGCAAGUCAAUCACUGAGAUAAUGGAUUUUGCAAAAGAGAAGACUAUUCAUGAGGCAGCCAGUGAGGAGGUGAAGAACAGGUCUCAACUCCACCUCCCAGAAGAUAAGGCUUAGGGAUAUUUAUAGGUUAUAGAAGUGGGGUCAGCUAAGAUGUGGGAAAAGGUGAUUGUCAGUGGGGGAAAAAUGAAGCAAUCAGUGAUCUAUGCAAACAUAGUUGGGAUAUGUGGCAUUUCAUAGGACACAUUUGCAGAAAAUGAUGGUAUUAUGAUCUGAGGGUGGAAUUUUUGGUCCUCUGAUGUCAAAAUGCUCUCCGGCAUUUACAGAGGCCCAGCUGAAGAGUCAACCAGUUUGAACUGGUCAGGAGCUGUCCCACAUUCCUGAAAAAUAACUGAAGUGACCAUUACCAUGGUGAUUUAUAAAUGUUCAAUUUAUUAUGCCGCUAAUGAAGGUUAAGUUUCAGCGUUCAGUGGUGCAGCCUUCAAUUACUGUGGCUUUCAGCUUCAUGAAAAAAAAAAAAAAAAAAGAAAAGAAAAAGAUAAAAAGCAGGUAACCAAAAGCAAGCAGGGCAUGCUAAAUUUGGCAGACCUAAUCAGAUGAAUCCUCUGUUUCACAGUGCUAUUUUGUUUAUAAUCUUCUUUAUCCAGGAGAACAUUAUUUGAACUAAAAAGAACAAAGCAAGAAUGGUCUGAAAUCACAAGGGGUUCAGAAGAAUGAAACAGAUGAUCUGGAUACUUUUAGAAGGAGUAAUAAUUAUUAAUCCCAACAAAUGACAUUCUUCAGUGUCUAAGCAUUUUCUUUUGUGAUUAAAGAGCUGCCGUGAACAAACCUGGAGGAGAACGUGAUGGGUACCAGAGACCAGAAAUUUACACAUGGCUAUGUUUUCAAAGGACAGGUCAAGAUGGUGAGAGGAGUGGGGCUAAGGAAGAUGUUAUCAUAUAUAAAUUCCAGAAAUUGUACUGAGGUGACGUUGGUAUCCAUCUGCAGCAUAAUUCUAUGCUUAAAUAUUGAACCAAUUAUUUUUGAGCUCUUAGUAAGGCAAGGUGGUGGAGCCAGGAUGGGUUCAAUAAGAAGUUCUCAUGCUAAACUAACCUCUUUUUUGAUAAAAUUUCCAGACUUUAAAGUCAAGAAGACAAAACAAUUCUAGAUUUGAGUAGGGCAUAUGAAGAAAAUAUGUGGCUUAAUAACUUGCUUUUUAAAGUUAACAUUUUGAAAUGGGAUCUAAAAAAAAAUGUCGAUCUUACAGAAUUAGAGAGUAGAGCAGUGGUUACUGACACCGGGGAGAAAAUGAGAGAUUGGGGAGGAUGGGAGAGGUUGGCCAACAGGUACAAAGUUACAAGAAGAUAGAAAGAAGUUCUGGUGUCCUUUUGCAUAAUAGGGUGAAGAUAGUUAACAGUAAGGGAUUGUAUAUUAUAAAAUACCUUGAAGAGAGGUUUUGGAAUGUUCUUAUUACAAAGAAAUGAAAAAUGCACAAGGUGAUGAAUACGCCAGCUACCCUAAUUUGAUUAUUAUACAACAUAUACAUGUAUCAAAACAUCAAAUUGUAUCCCAUAAAUAUGUACAAUACAAUGUGUCAAUUAAAAAAUAGAAAACAAUAUAAUUAUGUGGUCUACAAAGAGAACAUAAUGGACUAAAUGUUGAUUGGGAUUCACAGAAUAUUGCCAAAAUAUUCGUGACUUUGCUAACCAUAUGAAACAAAAUGUUCACAUUUAAAUAUAUAAGUUGAUCUUAGUUGUAUUUAUGUAAUAAUUAUUAUGAUCCAUAAUAAACCAUACAUAUUUUGCUAAUUUUAUUAUUUCUGUCCAUGACAAGUGAAGUUAUUAAUAAGAUAUUAUAAAAUUUGGCACAUAAAUUAAAAUGUAUUCGUUAUCCUAUUAACAGUAUUAUUUUAAAUGACAAAACUGUAUUCCAUAUGUAUUCCAAUACACCAAAAUUUUGUAAGUUAAUUUACCAAUAUCCGUUUUUUGGACAUUUAGAUUAUUUGCAUUUCUUACACUUUUUUGAAGUAUUCUAGUUAUGUCCUUAGGUUAAAUUCCUAAAAGUAAAAUUUCUGAGCUAUGAGGAUAUGCCAAAUUACCUUCCAAAAAUGUGGUAUUCGCCGGGUGCAGCGGCUCAUGCUUGUAAUCUCAGUGCUUUGGAAGGCUGAGGUGAGAGGAUGGCCUUGAGGCUUGGAGUUAGAGACCAGGCAUGGGCAAUGUAAUGAGACUCUGUCUCUACAAAAAAAAAUUUUUAAAUUAACUGGACAUGUUGCUGUGCACCUCUAGUUCCAGCUACUUGGGAAGCUGAGACAGGAUAUCUGCUUGAGCCCAGGAGUUCGUGGCUGCAGAGAGCUGUGAUCACACCACCGCACUCCAGCCAGGGCAACAGAGUGAGACCCUGACUCCAAAAGCAAAAACAAAAGAGCAAAAACGAGAUUCCAAUGUAUACUCCCACCAAUUAAUUUGAAGGUGACCAUAUCCCUCCUAUCAAAUACUGUCACUCAUUUACAUCUUUGCCAAAUGUGGGAAAACAUAAAGUUUGGCAACCCUAUAUUGACUCCACCAUGCCUUGGGAAAGGCAGCCCGCAUCAGUGGCAGGAAAUAUUGGUGGAGCGAGCUGGGACUUGCAGGUGACCAAGAAGGGGGAUCCCGGAACCGGAAUUGUCUCCCUUGGCGUUCCGGAAGUAGAAGCAGAGUCAUUGCUGGGUGGCGCCAGCCCUCAGACUUGCCUCUUUGCAGUAGGAAGAAGGCCUCCCCACAUACCUUCCCACACUCAUCACCUUAAGCCAGACUCGGUGUCCAGUGAAUAUGACCAUCUCUUGCCCAUUUUCUAAUGAGUGUUUUCAUUAAUGAGUUAUAAGAAUGUGGUGGGUAAAUCUAUGGGCUUUGAACUAGUGAAUCAACUUGGUUUCAGAAUCUGGCACUGCUACUUACUAGUGAAUUUAAGCAAGUUAUUUCACCUUUCAGAGUGUCAGUUCCCUCAUGCAUACAAGGAAGAUAAAAAAUAAUGUAUACAAAAGUAUUGGAGUAAUUAAUACAUGGAGAACUACAUGUAAAGCGUUUAGCAUGAUGUCUGACAUAUUAAGCAUCCAAUAUUAGUUGCUUGCAGAAUUAUUAGUAAAAGAGAUUGCUUCUGAAAGCCAUUCCAAUUCUUAAAUUUUAUAAUGCCACAUUUGAGGUCACCUGAAGUACGUGUAUAACAUGUGUACAUUUUUGCGAUUUAUUUUUUCAAUUCCCAGAUUAGAGGCAUAGAGAUAUCCUAGCAAGGACUCCAAGUGUGUAGAUCUGUCAAAGAUAUGAACAUGAAAGAACAGCUUAUUUCAAUAAACCCACUUUACAUACCUUGUGUGCUUGUUUUUAACAAUAAAAAUUGGAAAGAUAAUUAAGGAACUGAAAAACCAGAGGGUAAAUUCUACAGUUUCCUUAAUUUAAAGAGUAAUUGUUUUUAAUUCUGAUUCACCUAAGAAGAAGGCAUUUAACUUGUAGGGCUUUCUGUAUUUACAUGUAUUAUAUAUUAAAUCCUCACAAUUGUUUGCAGUCAUUAUUAUUAUUAUUAUUAUUAUGCCCAUAUAAUAUGUUAAUGUGGAAACUGAGGCUCACAAAGCUUAAUUAAAUUGCCCAAGUUCCUAAAAUUAAUA
rnacentral:lncRNA from 1 species